rnacentral:misc_RNA from 1 species
GGUGAAUCAUCGAAUCUUUGAACGCACAUUGCGCCCCCUGGUAUUCCGGGGGGCAUGCCUGUCCGAGCGUCAUUGCUGCCCUCAAGCACGGCUUGUGUGUUGGGCUUCGCCCCCCGUUCUUCGGGGGGCGGGCCCGAAAGGCAGCGGCGGCACCGCGUCCGGUCCUCGAGCGUAUGGGGCUUUGUCACCCGCUCUGUAGGCCCGGCCGGCGCCCGCCGGCGACCCCAAAUCAAUCUAUCCAGGUUGACCUCGGAUCAGGUAGGGAUACCCGCUGAACUUAAGCAUAUCAAUAAGCGGAGG